rnacentral:rRNA from 1 species
AUUAAACGCUGGCGGCAUGCCUUACACAUGCAAGUCGAACGGCAGCACGGGGGCAACCCUGGUGGCGAGUGGCGAACGGGUGAGUAAAGCAUCGGAACGUGCCCUGGAGUGGGGGAUAACGUUUCGAAAGGAACGCUAAUACCGCAUACGCCCCAAGGGGGAAAGCGGGGGAUCUUCGGACCUCGUGCUAUAGGAGGAGCCUGCGUCGGAUUAGCUAGUUGGUGAGGUAAAGGCUCACCAAGGCGACGAUCCGUAGCUGGUCUGAGAGGAUGAUCAGCCACACCGGAACUGAGACACGGUCCGGACUCCUACGGGAGGCAGCAGUGGGGAAUAUUGCGCAAUGGGCGAAAGCCUGACGCAGCCAUACCGCGUGUGUGAAGAAGGCCUCGGUUGUAAGCAUUUCAGUGGGAGGAAAGACGU